ACUCAAUAGAUACCCGGGUAGUCCACGCCGUAAACGAUGAGUGCUAAGUGUUAGAGGGUUUCCGCCCUUUAGUGCUGCAGCUAAACGCAUUAAGCACUCCGCCUGGGGAGUACGGUCGCAAGACUGAAACUCAAAGGAAUUGACGGGGGCCCGCACAAGCGGUGGAGCAUGUGGUUUAAUUCGAAGCAACGCGAAGAACCUUACCAGGUCUUGACAUCCUCUGACAACUCUAGAGAUAGAGCGUUCCCCUUCGGGGGACAGAGUGACAGGUGGUGCAUGGUUGUCGUCAGCUCGUGUCGUGAGAUGUUGGGUUAAGUCCCGCAACGAGCGCAACCCUUGAUCUUAGUUGCCAGCAUUUAGUUGGGCACUCUAAGGUGACUGCCGGUGACAAACCGGAGGAAGGUGGGGAUGACGUCAAAUCAUCAUGCCCCUUAUGACCUGGGCUACACACGUGCUACAAUGGAUGGUACAAAGGGCUGCAAGACCGCGAGGUCAAGCCAAUCCCAUAAAA
rnacentral:rRNA from 1 species